AAAGAAUCUCGUAGCGAAUCAAUUGGCGCAGCUUAUGAUGAAGCACGAAAUAAAUCUUUCCAUCGAGCCUUGUAUGACGCCUUUACGUUUUUUUGGGAAUUUAUGAAGAUAAUGGAGAAGCUGAGUAAUGAAAAGGUGCAAAGAAUGGUCAAGCAGCAACAGUUAAAAGCCGAAUGGAAUAAUAAAAAUAUUGUAAAAA